UAAAGGGUGGCUGAAAGGUAAGGCAUUGCUUUUUGAAAGCAAAAAGUGUAGGUUCGAGUCCUACCCCUUGAA
rnacentral:tRNA from 1 species